UUGCAAAUGAGUGCAUAAACUGGGUCAAGAUGCCAGCAGAGUCUCCUGAUUUUAACCUGAUCUAACUUGUUCGGCAUCAACUGAAAACAUUCAUCCGUAACUCUGCCAAGCCGACAAGCAAAGAUGAACUGGUCAAGGCCAUCAAGAUGUUUUGUCUAGAGAAAAUGACGAUACAACAAUGCAACAAAUACAUUGAUCAUCUCAGCAAGGUUUUACCUGUGGUCGUGGAAAUAGGUGGAAGUGCGACUAAAAUGUAGUUCAAAUAAACAUCCGCAUUUGAAUGUUAUUCUAUUAACGAAAGCAUAAAGAUGUYGAUGAAGAAAUACUGUACUGYUGUUUUGAGUUAGAAAUGUAACACUUUAGAGUACUUAAGCAUCGAAUACAUUGCAAGUUGAGGGAUUUUCACAACAUUAGCCGCGCUAUAAAAAUUMUAUCGUCCUGCUAAUAGGAAACAUKUGCAUGAUGUGCUACACCUGCUACAGUACUACAGUACACUUGUGAAAAACAAGUGUUUGAAAACCUGUUUUCAAAUUGUUUKCAAACUGUUUCCAGUUGUCCAUCACUACUGUAAAUAAAAACACAUCAUCUUG